ncrna:unclassified sequences RAGATH-28 RNA
GACCGGUUGAUUCGUCCCGGUUGUGUUCGGGACGCAGGCAUAAAGAAAAGGAACUGAGCAGAAAAGGACGCUGGUCGGGUGGCGAAGC